GCAUGUUUUAUUGGGUCCCUAACACGUAGAAAAAACCUAUUUCCAGCCAGGGCAGCCAAAAGCGCGCAUGCGUAAAAGGAAGGUCCUGUUUUUGUUUUGUUGUUGUUGUUGUUGUUUUAAAAAGAAGGCAGCUCUGAGUUUUUUCAAACUCGGAAGGCGGGGGAAGGGGUGGUCCGAACUGGUACAGUGCGCAACACUGCCACCUACUGGCCAGAGAAACGGAACGACACACAUCACAAAGGAAAAUCCGUCGUUUCCUCUGUUCGCCUGUAAAGAGCCCUGCAGAUCAUAGCUGAGGUGGCAAAGAGGAAUGCUGCUGAGGGGGAGCGAAGGCUGCGGUACAAUCGAAGUGGCCCGGCCGAACGGUCUUCGGCACAAUAGCCUUCUAUGGUCCCGCCCCGGAACUAAGCCAACAGAAGCAGGAAGGCCCGCGUCCGGAAGUUCCGGCGCCCGGUAGAGGAAAAGGCAGGGCUUCGGGAUGCGUUCCAAUUGUGAGGGUCUGAGCCUGGUUCCGGCGACUGAGUGAGGUCCUUGCCAGUCUGUGUGCCCAGCUCUGAAGACGGUUUCCAUACUCGUCCAAGGCCCCAAACCCCUGUUAUCCGGCUGCUAUUCCUCGAUCCCCGGACUCUCAGACCGUCCUUUGGGCGAGGCGUGUCCGAAUCCCCUGGUCAUUGUUCUGCCCACUCCAGCCUGUGAACGUUGGUCCCAAGGCACAGUUGCUAUCCUCCUCUCAGCCCUCCCUCCCCUGCUGCCUCCAGGCCUAUCAAGGCCCUAGAAGACGAACCGGCCACCCCCGGUCCUCUCCGUCCUCAGGGUUGUUCUCCCCAACACGAAUAUCCAGCUGCCCAUGGACCUGCCUUGGACCCUGGACAUCAGGAACCCCGCUCCCCUCCCUGGAGUCGCUGUCUAGCAUUCCUCUCUCUCGUCACCCCCAAAAGGCCUGUUCUCCAGCCCCCUCCCUCUACUGCGUCUACAGCCUAGGCAUUAAGCCCUUUAGGGAACCCCCGGUUCCAUGGCCACUAGGUCAUGUCACAUUCUAUUAGGCCAGCUUAAGGGGCUAUAAAUUGUCCCGCGCAAAACAGGUCUUUGCUCCUUCCUCUCUCCUCUCCUGGUACACCCUAAUAAAGACGAAAUCCUGCAACCUCCUGACCUGUAUCUUUUCUCUAUCUGCAGUAACCUUCUAGUGCUCCAUGACCCACGCUUCUCAAGAAGUUCAAUGGUAAUACGUUAAAAAGAAGAAGAAGAAGAAGAAGAAGAAGAAGAAAAGAAAAAAGAGCAGUUAUCAGACAGGAACUCUCACCACUUCACAGCAACACCUGAUCUGCACCUGUAUCUCUGCUAUCCCUGUGGAAUAAAGGACCUUAUCCUACCUGAGGCCAGGCCCUUCACCUGGAUCCCAUGCCCAUCUUCUGGAGGAGGAGUAGGACUUUGCAAUGAUUCCAAUGAUCACCUAUCCAUUUAUUUCUCCAUCAUUCUGUUAUCUAUGAUACAAGAGGCAGUAAAACGUAAAGCCAUCCCUUAUCCCAUAUCUUUCUGAGACACUGCCACAUUUCGCUUGCUGUAAACAGCAAGUCUUCCCUUGUUCUGUAACUUUUUUUUUUUUUUUUUGCUAACUUCUCCAGUCCAGCUUCUAUCAGCCUGCCCCCCAAAUGAAAACAGCUGUCAAGGGCACCAGUGAAUCCCUUUGAUGAUGUCCUCUCCUCAACCUACUGUACCUCUCAGAUAGCUCUGGUACACUUAACAAUUGCCUGGUCCUUGAAAAUGUCCCUCCCUCCCUUUCUUCUAAUUUGUAUUGUGGCCUCUUUGAAAAUUUACUCUUUGGGUGAUGUUCUCGCAACCCCAGUGGCCACUGUGCUCCUUGUCAGUGUUUAUUGCUCACUCCCUGUUCCACAGGGCUUUUAACAGGGCCCUUCCCAUCUACACUCUCUCUGUGGGUUGUUUCAUCCUUGGUGCCAGCACAGAGCAUGGACACAACGGGACCUCCCACGUUCGUACCUCACGCAUCAACCUGUCCCCUGAGAUCCACAUUUGUCUGUGUCUUUGCUGGAUGACCAGAAGGGAGCAGACACUUAACAUGUCCCAAGCACGCCUCUUCAUGUGACGUGUUCCUUUGGUCUCCACUGCAACCCAGCACCACGUCCUCUGGAUUCGAUCUUCUGAAAACAUCCUGUAUCCAUCCCGUUCUGUGUUCAUCUACUGCUACUGUUUUCGUAUCCAAUCUGCUCAUCUCAUGACUUCACAGUGGUAACUCUGGCCUACUCCUAUUCCUCGAACACACCAGGCUUCUUCCCUCCUUAGGACAUUGGUGAUCACAGUUGUCUCUGCCCGGAAGAGUCUCUCCCUGAAUCAUUACAUGGUUGUUUCCUUCUAACCAUCUGGUUUCAACUCCAUUUUUGCCUUUUCAGAAGGUUUUGAGGUGUUUGUGUUAAAGACACAAUACUGUUCCCUGUCUUGUUUACUUCUAAAUGAUUAAAUUAGUUCACUGCUACUUAAACUGACAUAAGCAUGAAAAAUGAGAGGGAGAAAGAGAAGAGGUGGGCCCAUCAUAAGGUCACCUAGGGUGGGCAGCAGUGCUGUCUCAAUUUCAUCCAGUAAGCUCUCUGGCUGCACGGUGGCAGGCCAUGUCUCCCUGUGCCUUGGUUUCUCCAUCUGCACUUAGAACAGUCAGGACACGUGCCCACAGCGUGACUUGAGAUUGUCCAUUCUGAGAACAGGGCUGGCACCAGGAAUUCUCAAAAUGAGUUUGAUAGAUCAUUUCUUUGCAUGUGUGAGCAACUGUCUGCGGGAGAAUCAGGAGCCUGAGAAGAGUUGCUGGAGGCCAGAGUGCUCCCACCUGUGUUUUCUUGAUGGAACCCACAGCCAUGAACUAGCUAGGGAGAAACUGCCCUGGUUAGGACUGAGCAAGGAACCUGUAAUGUAACUUCAGCAGGAACGCCACUGAAGGCAUUGUGCUCAUAAUCGGAAGUUCUUAAGCAAACAUUUUCAUUUCAGGGAUUUUAUCUUUUAGACAGUUGUGCUUUUAUUCUGUUUUCCAGUCAUGUAGACUGUACUCCCCCCUCCCCCCACCACGGUAAUGAGAAAAGUAUUUACUUUGAAACAUUAAACUAUGAAGCCAGUCUCUGUGCUGAUCUUUUAAUUGGUUAUGUGGUAAAUAGGAGACUGGAAAAAGGGUUGCCAAACCUCAAGGAUAUUUCUGGACUAGUCAGAUAUGAAGAUGCACCCAGGGUUUCCUCGUAACUCCUGGAAGACAUCACAAGCUUUGGGAAAAAAACAGAAACCACACGAAGGAGGAGAAACUAAACCACAGGAUGUAUUGUGUGAGGCCACCCACAGACACGGGGUCCUGCCAAUAAAUAAGCUUGUAUCAAGGGUCCUGUGCACGCACAGACAUAUGCACAUGUGGAUACUGCUGCGCACUCCUUCCAGCCCAGAACAGCACAGUGACUGCUGAAUAAGGGUUCCAACUUCUUCCCUGUGCUCUCCUCAUCCUAAUACAUGAUUCGUGGGUGACCACAUGGCCAUCCAGAGCUCCACGCAUCUAACUUGAUUUCAUCUAUUUCCCCUUGUAUGCUGAUGGCUUUUCCCAUCAACAAGUCUACCUAAGAAAUGUCUGCUGGGCCCCAGGACCCCAUGGGCUGAACCUAUAGGACACCUCUACUCAGGUGCAAAUCCCACAAGCCCUACAAAUCUGCACAGGACCCCAGACCUCUAUUCCCUGUCUCAUGGCUGGACACUGCCAUCCACCCAAUUCCCGAAGGCAAAAUCCUAGAGAUACUGCUAGGUGUGUUCUCCAUUGUCCAAUGACUCUCUGGGACCUGCUCUGGAAAAGGCUAAGCCAUGAUCCUCACCU